CGCUGACGACCGGCGCACGGGUGCGUAACGCGUAUACAAUCUACCUUUUACAGGGGCAUAGCCCGGGGAAACCCGGAUUAAUAUCCCAUGGUAUCAUUUAGUGGCAUCACUUGAAUGAUUAAAGCUUCGGCGGUAAAAGAUGAGUAUGCGUUCUAUUAGCUAGAUGGUAAGGUAACGGCUUACCAUGGCUACGAUAGAUAGGGGUCCUGAGAGGGAGAUCCCCCACACUGGUACUGAGACACGGACCAGACUCCUACGGGAGGCAGCAGUGAGGAAUAUUGGACAAUGGGCGAGAGCCUGAUCCAGCCAUGCCGCGUGCAGGAAGACUGCCCUAUGGGUUGUAAACUGCUUUUAUACGGGAAGAAACACUCCUUCGUGAAGGAGCUUGACGGUACCGUACGAAUAAGGAUCGGCUAACUCCGUGCCAGCAGCCGCGGUAAUACGGAGGAUCCAAGCGUUAUCCGGAAUCAUUGGGUUUAAAGGGUCCGUAGGCGGGAUAAUAAGUCAGUGGUGAAAGUCUGCAGCUCAACUGUAGAACUGCCAUUGAAACUGUUGUCCUUGAGUAAUUAUGAAGUGGUUAGAAUAUGUAGUGUAGCGGUGAAAUGCAUAGAUAUUACAUAGAAUACCGAUUGCGAAGGCAGAUCACUAAUAAUUUACUGACGCUGAUGGACGAAAGCGUAGGUAGCGAACAGGAUUAGAUACCCUGGUAGUCUACGCCGUAAACGAUGGUUACUAGCUGUUUGGCUCGAUU
rnacentral:rRNA from 1 species